AAUUCUCAACCUCAAAAGUUUCUAUUGAAGCUUUAUGAGGCUUGGAUUGUGGAGGCUUGCUGGCGUCUCAGAUGUUUCAGCUCCUCUUAAAAGCAUUAGUGGAAACCGUUUGUCGGACCAACCUUGGUGUGAUAAUUAUCUACGCCCUGGCUUAUCUGACGGCUCUUUGGUUGGGACAACUGCGUUAGUUCGCUCUGUCUGUUUAAUUUCAAAGAGUUUAUUAGGGUGUCCGCUCUCUAACUGUCUGUGUCUCAUGGACAAUUCUAUUGACU
rnacentral:misc_RNA from 1 species